rnacentral:rRNA from 1 species
CCCAGACUCCUACGGGAGGCAGCAGUGGGGGAUAUUGGACAAUGGGGGGAACCCUGAUCCAGCGACGCCGCGUGAGUGAAGAAGUAUCUCGGUAUGUAAAGCUCUAUCAGCAGGGAAGAAAGAAAUGACGGUACCUGACUAAGAAGCCCCGGCUAACUACGUGCCAGCAGCCGCGGUAAUACGUAGGGGGCAAGCGUUAUCCGGAUUUACUGGGUGUAAAGGGAGCGUAGACGGCGAUGCAAGUCAGAAGUGAAAGCCCGCGGCUCAACUGCGGGACUGCUUUUGAAACUGUAUAGCUUGAGUGCAGGAGAGGUAAGCGGAAUUCCUAGUGUAGCGGUGAAAUGCGUAGAUAUUAGGAGGAACACCAGUGGCGAAGGCGGCUUACUGGACUGUAACUGACGUUGAGGCUCGAAAGCGUGGGGAGCAAACAGGAUUAGAUACCCGUGUA